rnacentral:rRNA from 1 species
GACGAACGCUGGCGGCGUGCUUAGCACAUGCAAGUCGAACGGUGAAGCGCCUUCCUUUUUGGUGGGUGUGGAUGAGUGGCGAACGGGUGAGUAACACGUGAGUAACCUGCCCCCUUCUUCUGGAUAACCGCAUGAAAGUGUGGCUAAUACGGGAUAUUCUGGGUCUGUCGCAUGAUGGGUCUGGGAAAGAUAUUGUUUCGGUGGGGGAUGGGCUCGCGGCCUAUCAGCUUGUUGGUGGGGUGAUGGCCUACCAAGGCGGUGACGGGUAGCCGGCCUGAGAGGGUGGACGGUCACACUGGGACUGAGACACGGCCCAGACUCCUACGGGAGGCAGCAGUGGGGAAUAUUGCACAAUGGGCGCAAGCCUGAUGCAGCGACGCCGCGUGAGGGAUGGAGGCCUGCGGGUUGUGAACCUCUUUCGCCAGUGAAGCAGGCCUGCCUCGUUUGUGGGUGGGUUGACGGUAGCUGGAUAAGAAGCGCCGGCUAACUACGUG